rnacentral:rRNA from 1 species
UACGAAGGGUGCAAGCGUUAUUCGGAAUUACUGGGCGUAAAGGGUGCGUAGGCGGUUGUUUAAGUCUGUCGUGAAAUCCCCGGGCUCAACCUGGGAAUGGCGAUGGAAACUGGGCAGCUAGAGUGUGUCAGAGGAUGGUGGAAUUCCCGGUGUAGCGGUGAAAUGCGUAGAGAUCGGGAGGAACAUCAGUGGCGAAGGCGGCCAGCUGGGACAACACUGACGCCGAAGCACGAAAGCGUGGGGAGCAAACAGG